rnacentral:rRNA from 1 species
GGUCACUGCUAUUGGGGUUCGGCUAAGCCAUGCGAGCGGAGGGCGCGGUCGCAAGAUCGUGGCCCCGCACACGGCUCAGUAACACGUAGUCAACCUACCCUUGGGACGGGGACAACGCCGGGAAACUGGCGAUAAUCCCCGAUAGGUGAGGGAUGCUGGGAUGCUUCUUCGCUCAAAGCUCCGGCGCCCGAGGAUGGGACUGCGGCCUAUCAGGCUGUUGGUGGUGUGACGGACCACCAAACCUACGACGGGUACGGGCGAUGGGAGUCGGAGCCUGGAGAUGGGGACUGAGACAAGGCCCCAGGCCCUACGGGGCGCAGCAGGCGCGAAAACUCCGCAAUGCGCGCAAGCGUGACGGGGAACCCCAAGUGCCGUUGGCUUUUGAUCGACGGCUUUUCGGAAGUCCAAUAAGCUUCCGGAAUAAGGGCUGGGUAAGACUGGUGCCAGCCGCCGCGGUAACACCAGCAGCCCAAGUGGUGGCCGCGAUAUUGGGCCUAAAGCGCUCGUAGCCGGAUCAGCAAGUCCUUUGUGAAAUCGGGCCGCCCAACGGUUCGGCGUGCAAAGGAUACUGUUGGUCUUGAGACCGGGAGAGGUCGGAGGUACUCUUGGGGUAGCGGUGAAAUGCUGUAAUCCUGGGGGGACCACCAGUGGCGAAGGCGUCCGACCAGAACGGAUCUGACGGUGAGGGGCGAAGGCUAGGGGAGCGAACGGGAUUAGAUACCCCGGUAGUCCUAGCUGUAAAGCAUGCGGGCCAGGUGUCUAGCGCUCCUUGAGGGCGCUAUGUGCCGGAGGGAAGCCGUUAAGCCCGCCGCCUGGGAAGUACGGCCGCAAGGCUGAAACUUAAAGAAAUUGGCGGGGGAGCACCACAAGGGGUGGAACCUGCGGUUCA